CGCCCGGAAACCAUGCUGCAGACAUGAACCCAGAAGAUCCUUCAGUGCUGAUGCCCUGCACCGUAGCAGAGGGGAGCUGAUCAUCAUCUCUAAAGCAUUAUUGAUGAACCAUAUGAUUUAGAAUGGGCAAACUCCAGGGCCUGUUAAAUUCCAAGUACAUCAGUGGGACCUUUGGGAUGUUGGGCCACCCCCACUACCUUCCUACCUCCAUAUUUUCAUCUGGGAGUGUCCCAGCGGUGCUGUACUAUUCUUGGAAAAACCGCACAAACUGCAGGGACUUGUCAUUUGCUGUAGGGGUCCAUGUGUCGUAUCGUCGUCGGUUUGCUGUAUGCAUCCUCUUUGUGGCCUUUCCCAUGUUGUUUGGUUGGAAUGUAGCUGCUAUUUAUGGUGGGGGUGUCUGUUGGGGCUGGCAAGAGAGGUUGAUUGACUAUAGUGUGGUAAUUUGAGGAGUAUUUGUUGGGUCAGAGCUGUUCUUUUUUUCCCGAGAGAGAGGGGAAACAGGAAAGUGUACACAACCGUG